rnacentral:rRNA from 1 species
UACGUAGGGGGCAAGCGUUGUCCGGAUUUAUUGGGCGUAAAGAGCGUGUAGGCGGCCAGGUAGGUCAGCUGUGAAAACUCGAGGCUCAACCUCGAGACGUCGGUUGAAACCACCUGGCUAGAGUCCGGAAGAGGAGAGUGGAAUUCCCGGUGUAGCGGUGAAAUGCGCAGAUAUCGGGAAGAACACCCGUGGCGAAGGCGGCUCUCUGGGACGGUACUGACGCUGAGACGCGAAAGCGUGGGGAGCGAACGAGG